ACCGCGGUACGGAGUGAUGCUGCUCCUGGCAGACAGGAAGAAGAUAGGAAACAUGUAUACAAGCUGCAAAAUGUCUUUUUCACUGAGCUGAAUAAGUCAGCGAAUAUAAUGACACCCGUGUAUCUAACAAUGGGGAAACAGCGAGCGCCAAUUCUGCUGAUCGCUCACUCAUGCCAGUGGGAGCUCAAGCUGUGUUCAUAUUCAGACAAGUCUGUCUCUGAGGGCCCACAGCAGACCACCAGUCGACACGUCUUACCUCUGGAAAUGAUUGCCAUGCAGCGGAGUUACUGAUCUGCAAUCAAAGAGCCUCUGAAGCACGGACAGUCCGCCAGCUGUGUGACAGCGGGAGGCUGAAGCUGCUGCUGAAAGAAUUAGGGACUCGCUGGAACUUUUCUCUAAAAUAAUUGCCCCAUGAUGACAGAGUCAUCCAGGGCUUUAUGUAAAAGAAUGACUCACUUUUCUUGGCUUUGCAGAGAUUGGAGUGAAGAGGUUUUUUGUUUGCCCCCCCCCUCCCCUCCCCCCUCCAAUCACAGUGGUGUUGGAGCCGAUUCCAGCACCAGUCAGGAUAUUAGCAGCUGGAAGUGCUGCUCACUGUGUUGACACUUUUAAUUUGCAUACAGGAUUAUCUAAAAAUGAUUGUUUCACACUUGAAUAAAUUCAUGCUUGUUUUUUUUUUUUGUAUGCAAAGACAAGAGAAACACGA